UACGUAGGGGGCUAGCGUUGUCCGGAAUCAUUGGGCGUAAAGCGCGCGUAGGCGGUCAGAUAAGUCCGGUGUGAAAGUCACAGGCUCAACCUGUGAAUGCCGCUGGAAACUGUCUGGCUAGAGUCCGGAAGGGGCGAGUGGAAUUCCUGGUGUAGCGGUGAAAUGCGCAGAUAUCAGGAGGAACACCAAUGGCGAAGGCAGCUCGCUGGGACGGUACUGACGCUGGAGGCGCGAAAGCGUGGGGAGCGAACAGG
rnacentral:rRNA from 1 species